rnacentral:tRNA from 1 species
GCCUUCGUGGUGUAGUGGUUAGCACGCUCGACGCGAAUUCGAGAGGUCCGUGGUUCGAAUCCGGACGAGGGCA